rfam:Lipomyces starkeyi NRRL Y-11557 unplaced genomic scaffold LIPSTscaffold_3, whole genome shotgun sequence.
GACUGGAUGGCCAAGCUGGUUAAGGCGUACGGCUGUUAACCGUAAGAUCGGGAGUUCGAUCCUCCCUCUGGUCG